CACAAAGCCAGGACCCAGAUUUGCCCACAAAUUCUCUUACACACGCUCCCCAGGCUGGCAGGCACAGCCCAUCGCGGAGCUGAUGUACCUGGAGAAAAGUGGGAUCUGGUCUGGUUUGGGGGACCCGAGAAAACUAUGCUCUCCUCUCUCACUCGGCGCCCCUAGCCAAACGCGCGGACUCCAGGAAAAAAAAACAAAACCCCACUUGGUGUGCUGCAGUUCGACUCCCCAUGACACUCGCUCAGCUCGCCCCCCGAAAAGCGGACACGGGGGCAGCCAGGGGCUGACGCGGACGCAGAGCCAGACCCAGACCCCACAGCAGAUAAAAGGGCCGAAAAACACUCCGUCAGAGUUCUUUUCCGGGGUGGGUGAGGUUAAACGAGAGACUGGCCUGACUCACAAGAAGGGGAGAGGGUCGGGGAGGAUUCCAGGGAAAAGUAGUGCCCCCCAAAGCUGAACUAUUUGAGAAAGGGAAGCCAAGAAAAAUCACUUUCCUGAAGAUAAAAGGCCGGGGCGCCGGCUGGUCGCAGUCACAAAGAUGAGGCCAACACUUAAGAGGAGGCAGACCAACAAUGGAGAACUAACUUGGAUCCUCAAAUGACCUCCUGGAGUGGAGCCACCUACUCACCUUGGGCCACAGAUGAGAAAUAAAUAAACUCUGUUUUAUCUAAA